rnacentral:rRNA from 1 species
GAUGAACGCUAGCUACAGGCUUAACACAUGCAAGUCGAGGGGUAACGAGAGGAAAGCUUGCUUUCCUUGUCGACGACCGGCGCACGGGUGAGUAACGCGUAUCCAACCUGCCCCCAACUAAGGAAUAACCUUGCGAAAGUAAGACUAAUACCUUAUAAUUUCCUCAGAUGACAUCUGACGAGGAAUAAAGAUUUAUCGGUUGUGGAUGGGGAUGCGUCUGAUUAGCUUGCUGGCGGGGUAACGGCCAACCAAGGCAACGAUCAGUAGGGGUUCUGAGAGGAAGGUCCCCCACAUUGGAACUGAGACACGGUCCAAACUCCUACGGGAGGCAGCAGUGAGGAAUAUUGGUCAAUGGGCGGAAGCCUGAACCAGCCAAGUAGCGUGCAGGAUGACGGCCCUAUGGGUUGUAAACUGCUUUUAUACAGGAAUAAAGUUAGCCACGUGUGGUUAUUUGUAGGUACUGUAUGAAUAAGGACCGGCUAAUUCCGUGCCAGCCGCCGCCGUAA